rnacentral:lncRNA from 1 species
UUUUGAAACUUUAUUUUGCAUCACUACUUUCUCAAAUUAUCCUUAUAGGAGCUAAAAUUAUAUGAGGUGACAUUUGAGCCAAAACCAGAGAAGCAGACAUCAACCCAAGACUGUGAGGAGAGUUCCAUUGGUGUGAAGGUCAGUGGAGCUGGUGAAUUAAAAGAAAAAGGAACAUGAUCUUUUAAAAAUAGCAUUUUGCAGAUGAAACAUUUGAGGUAAGAAGUAAUGUAAAAUGACUGAUAUCCUUGUUAAACUGACUGAGCACAGAGGCCAUCAUUGCAACAGAACUGCCCUAUGCAGCAAGAAUGUAAACACUGGAGUUAGUUAGUUCCAACAUACAACUACACGUCCCUAAGGAAAGAAGUUGGCAGCUCCUUUUUCCAUGGAGCUUCCUAGAAGAGGACGUUUGGCUGAUGUGAUUAUUUUGAACUUCCUGCCUACAGAAUCUUGAGACAAUAAAUUUCUUGUGUUUUG